rnacentral:lncRNA from 1 species
AUGCAGACCAGAAUGCGAAGCAACCUGGAGGCCAUUGGGAUGUUAAAUCAACAAUUAAACACCCUCAGCCAGGAAAAUGAGCAGCUGCGUAGGCAGCUGGAUGAAGAAAGGUGCAUGCGCAGACAAAUGGAGCGGCUUCUCCCUCCCACCUCCCAGCACUGCUCCACCCACCUCCCCGUCUCCCCCGGUGCCCACCCACCGCCUGAGUGCGCCUCCCUCCCUCCGCUCCCUCACCUGCCUCACCCACUGAGCUCGACUUGGGUGACGGGGGACACGAGCUCGGCCGAGUGGAGCUGACGUCGACCGGGUGAGUCCCAGCGUUUGGACGACGGCGCCUCUUUGCUCCUCUGGAAGACAUUUGGUCUGGGAGGACAAGCAGGGAUCUGACCAAAUGAAGCCCACUGAAGACUUUGACCUGUCGCGACCUUUUGACCUCCAGCUCCUCGCUAGGGAGAUUCCGCGGUAUGAGGUUAAUGUCCUGCAGGUCAAAGUCAAUGCUCAGCACCUGAGGGGAGCACCAAAAGCAGUGAAUACUGCAAUUUAGCUUAAAAAAUAUCUUUACGACUGCAGCACGGAGAUGUUUGUUCUGCCAUGAAGGCAAAGCAGAAGGAAGCAAAACAUCACUGAAAAAUAAAUAUUUUUAAAUGUACUAAGCA